rnacentral:misc_RNA from 1 species
AGUCCAAGGCCAGUAGACAUUUUGCAAGUCCUGAAGCAGCUGAGAGAGAAACUCCUUUGCAAGACUGUCUACAACUACAAUCAAUCUGUCUGAAGAUAGUUGAUGGAGGUGGAUGAAGACAAUGUCUUUGUAAUCGCCGAGAGUUUCCGUAUAGAUAACGGGCGGAUACAGCUUCUAGGAGUUCAGGUGAUUUCAGGGAAAGGGCUUUUGG